rnacentral:rRNA from 1 species
GAUGAACGCUGGCGGCGUACCUAACGCAUGCAAGUCGAACGGACAUUCAAGGAGCAAUCUGCGGAUGUUAGUGGCAAACGGGUGAGUAACACGUAGGCAAUCUACCUUGGAGAGGGGAAUAACGAGCCGAAAGGUUCGCUAAUACCGCAUACGGUCGGUCACGAACGCAAGUUCGUGCGACGAAAGGGGCAUCUUCGGAUGCGUCACUCUAAGCGGAGCCUGCGAUCGAUCAGGUAGUUGGUGAGGUAACGGCUCACCAAGCCGCUGACCGAUAGCUGUUCUGAGAGGAAGACCAGCCACACUGGGACUGCGACACGGCCCAGACUCCUACGGGAGCAGCAGCGAGGAAUA